UACGUAGGGUGCAAGCGUUGUCCGGAAUUAUUGGGCGUAAAGAGCUCGUAGGCGGUCUGUCGCGUCUGCUGUGAAAACUCAGGGCUUAACCCUGAGCUUGCAGUGGGUACGGGCAGACUAGAGUGCGGUAGGGGAGACUGGAAUUCCUGGUGUAGCGGUGAAAUGCGCAGAUAUCAGGAGGAACACCGGUGGCGAAGGCGGGGUCUCUGGGCCGAAAACUGACG
rnacentral:rRNA from 1 species